GAUCCGGUCGUUCAGUGGAUAGGACGGAGUCCUGCGAAGACUCAAACCCAGGUUCGACUCCUGGUCGGGUCA
rnacentral:tRNA from 1 species